rnacentral:rRNA from 1 species
CCUACGGGAGGCAGCAGUGGGGGAUAUUGCACAAUGGGGGGAACCCUGAUGCAGCGACGCCGCGUGGGUGAAGGAGUGCUUCGGCAUGUAAAGCCCUAUCGGCAGGGAAGAAGCAAGACGGUACCUGACUAAGAAGCCCCGGCUAACUACGUGCCAGCAGCCGCGGUAAUACGUAGGGGGCGAGCGUUAUCCGGAUUCACUGGGUGUAAAGGGAGCGUAGACGGCCAUGCAAGCAGGGGGUGAAAGCCCGGGGCCCAACCCCGGGACUGCCCUUGGAACUGUGCGGCUAGAGUGCGGGAGGGGCAGGCGGAAUUCCUGGUGUAGCGGUGAAAUGCGUAGAUAUCAGGAGGAACACCGGCGGCGAAGGCGGCCUGCUGGACCGUGACUGACGUUGAGGCUCGAAAGCGUGGGGAGCGAACAGGAUUAGAUACCCUGGUAGUC